rnacentral:rRNA from 1 species
GAUGAACGCUGGCGGCGUGCCUAAUACAUGCAAGUCGAGCGAACAGACGAGGAGCUUGCGCCUCUGACGUUAGCGGCGGACGGGUGAGUAACACGUGGAUAACCUACCUAUAAGACUGGGAUAACUUCGGGAAACCGGAGCUAAUACCGGAUAAUAUAUUGAACCGCAUGGUUCAAUAGUGAAAGACGGUUUUGCUGUCACUUAUAGAUGGAUCCGCGCCGCAUUAGCUAGUUGGUAAGGUAACGGCUUACCAAGGCAACGAUGCGUAGCCGACCUGAGAGGGUGAUCGGCCACACCGGAACUGAGACACGGUCCAGACUCCUACGGGAGGCAGCAGUAGGGAAUCUUCCGCAAUGGGCGAAAGCUUGACGGAGCAACGCCGCGUGAGUGAUGAAGGUCUUCGGAUCGUAAAACUCUGUUAUUAGGGAAGAACAAAUGUGUAAGUAACUAUGCACGUCUUGACGGUACCUAAUCAGAAAGCCACGGCUAACUACGUG